CCUUAACCUGCUAAAUAGUGACGCGAAUUUUUGGAUUUGCGGGUUUACUUCUUAGAGGGACUGCGGGCGUUUAGCUCGCGGAAGUUUGAGGCAAUAACAGGUCUGUGAUGCCCUUAGAUGUUCUGGGCCGCACGCGCGCUACACUGACGGAGUCAGCGAGUAUAUAGCCUGGGCCGAAAGGUCUGGGUAAUCUUGUGAAACUUCGUCGUGAUGGGGAUAGAGCAUUGCAAUUUUUGUUCUUCAACGAGGAAUUCCUAGUAGGCGUCGGUCAUCAGCCGGCGUCGAUUACGUCCCUGCCCUUUGUACACACCGCCCGUCGCUACUACCGAUUGAAUGGCUUAGUGAGGUCUUCGGAUUGGAGGGCUGCUUCCAGCAAUGGCGGCGGUCCAUCGAGAAGUUGAUCAAACUUGGUCAUUUAGAGGAAGUAAAAGUCG
rnacentral:rRNA from 1 species